GGUAGGGGAGCGUACUGUACGGGUAGAAGGCCAAGCGGAAGCGAGGCUGGACUGUACAGUAGAGAGAAUGCCGGCAUGAGUAACGAGAGUAAGGUGAGAAACCUUACCGCCGGAAGCCUGAGGUUUCCUGGGGAAGGGUAAUCCACCCAGGGUAAGUCGGGGCCUAAGCCGAGGCUUAAAGCGUAGGCGAUGGGGAACCGGUAGAUAUUCCGGUACCACCGAGGGCCGCAAAGAGAUGCGGGGACGCAGCGAGAUAGGUGGAGCGUGCGGUUGGUAGGGCACGUUCAAUCAGGCACCGAAGGGUACGUAGGCAAAUCCGCGUACUGGCAGGGGUCUGAGAAGGGGAGCCGGAAGGCGAAGCCACCGAAGCAGCUGCCGAGAAAAGCCGCUAUCGAGGCCUGAGGUGCCCGUACUACAAACCGACACAGGUAGGCGAGGAGAGAAUCCACAGGCGAGCGGGAGAACCCUCAUUAAGGAACUCGGCAAAAUGACUCCGUAACUUCGGGAGAAGGAGUGCCGAAAGGCCGCAGAGAAGAGGCCCAAGCGACUGUUUACCAAAAACACAGGUCUCUGCUAAGUCGGAAGACGAAGUAUAGGGGCUGACGCCUGCCCGGUGCUGGAAGGUUAAGGGGAAGUGUGAGAGCACUGAACCGAAGCCCCAGUGAACGGCGGCCGUAACUAUAACGGUCCUAAGGUAGCGAAAUUCCUUGUCGGGUAAGUUCCGACCCGCACGAAAGGCGUAACGACUUGGGCGCUGUCUUGAUGAGGGGCCCGGUGAAAUUGUAGUACUCGUGAAGAUGCGAGUUACCCGCGAUUGGACAGAAAGACCCCGUGGAGCUUUACUGUAGCCUGUCACUGGAUUUUGGUAAUUCUUGUACAGGAUAGGUGGGAGACAGAGAAGGUAGGGCGCCAGCCUUACUGGAGUCGACGUUGGGAUACCACCCUGGGAUUACCGGAAUUCUAACCUAUAGCCGUGAAACCGGCGUAGGGACAAUGGCAGGUGGGCAGUUUGACUGGGGCGGUCGCCUCCUAAAGGGUAACGGAGGCGCCCAAAGGUUACCUCAGCGCGGACGGGAAUCGCGCGAAAGAGUGCAAAGGCAGAAGGUAGCCUGACUGCGAGAGAGACAUCUCGAGCAGGGACGAAAGUCGGGCUUAGUGAUCCGGCGGCAGUGAGUGGGAACGCCGUCGCUCAACGGAUAAAAGCUACCCCGGGGAUAACAGGCUGAUCUCCCCCAAGAGUCCACAUCGACGGGGAGGUUUGGCACCUCGAUGUCGGCUCAUCGCAUCCUGGGGCUGAAGUAGGUCCCAAGGGUUGGGCUGUUCGCCCAUUAAAGCGGUACGCGAGCUGGGUUCAGAACGUCGUGAGACAGUUCGGUCCCUAUCCGUCGCGGGCGUAGGAAACUUGAGAGGCACUGCCCCUAGUACGAGAGGACCGGGGUGGACGAACCGAUGGUGUACCAGUUGCACCGCCAGGUGCACAGCUGGGUAGCCAAGUUCGGAAGGGAUAAACGCUGAAAGCAUCUAAGCGUGAAGCCCGCCUCAAGAUUAGGUUUCCCAUCCGAGAGGGGUAAGACACCUCGAAGACUACGAGGUAGAUAGGCCGGGGGUGUAAGAGUGGAAACACUCUUAGCUGACCGGUACUAAUCAGUCGAGGACUUGACCGA
rnacentral:rRNA from 1 species